AAAGGAAACAUUUUUCAAUUUACAAAACACAUGCAUAUUGUGCUUAGAGGUUUUACAUGAUAUUUUGACAAACCAAAAUGAACUUGCCCCUUUCCUGUUCACCACUUCAACUCAUGCUACUUUAUCACUAUUCCUCAAGUAAAAGCAUGAGUGAAAUGGGUCUGAUACUAAAUUGCAGGUCAGCAAGGUUCAGCUCUAGACCACCAGGAGAGAAAUUUCACAGUUGAAAAUCCUCUCUCAGGAAUGCCUUAGUUUUUUGUCCAGAGUUCAGAUACAGAAACUGUUCAUAUCUGUCCCUGUAGCUGCUCAAGUGUCAAGACAGUGCUUCCAAAAACAGAAUACUAACCAUACAGAAUUUUACAUGCACACAAACCAUCCUAGCUGCCAGUUUACUUCUAGAGUUCAGUGUGAUUUAUGGAGAAUGAAGUGUAAUAUCUUCCACAUGUCUAGCACCAAGUGAGCAGCCACAUUCUGCACCAGCAGAAGCUUCUAUAUGGUCUUCCAGGGUAGCUCCACAACACAUCAUACUAGUUUACUCUAGAUGUCAAGUAGGCUUGUAUCGCUCUGGCAAGAGGAAAGUCACAAUCAUCCUCUCCAGACACAGGUGGGAAGAUGUUUCCAGCUACUACUGUUAUCUUUAAAAUGUAAGGAAGGCUUUACGGAGGCAAAGAAACAGUAAUGUCCCAUUUUGAACAAAAAAGAUAGAUUGCCAUCAUUCAUAUGCUCAUGUCAGUGCAGUCUAAACCAUCUACUUCUUUUGACAGCCUUACAUUGGACAGAACGGUGUGAUGAACACCACCACUUUGCACACCCGACAUGAGUUCUCAGGGGAGCUAUACUUUUGCCCAACACUAUCCUCUAGGACUUUUCAAAAGGAAAGAAUUGAGUCACUGCAAUGCAGCUCCAUUCACCUCUACCGGAGUCUAUAACUUUUCAGUUAGGGAGAAGCAUUAACAAGAAAGAAGCUGAUGGGAAGCACAAGUUUAGCCCAUCCUGUCAUCCUUCCUGAGGUCUAAUAUCCCACUGACAGAGUAAGAACAACAGGAUCAGGCCCGUAAGGUUCUGCAUCCUCCCCCACCCCAGCCUGAAUGUCUGGGUUGCAUUUUAAUUGAAGGUACAAUUACUGAAAAACAUAUUGGUUAAGCUUUUAGCUCUUGAAGCUGAUUUGUUUAACGACCAAAUACUUAAAGAGUUCUGCCCCUGAAGACUAUAGGCAAUUCAGCUCUAAGCCAAGUACCUCACAGAAAAUAUCUUGAAACUGGGAAUGCCAAAGUCUGGUAAAAAUAAUUUAUGAGAAUGUGCUUUAACAAUAUAUCUGCAUUACUGAAGCCGUGUCUCAAUCUAUCAAAAAUAAAAACAAAUCUUAAAGCCUAGCCUGGGUGAAGGACAACAGAAAUAUAACAUUUUAAGUGAGCUAUUUUCAUUAGAGAAUUAUCUAAUACAGUAACAGGAAUACCAGAAUUUAUUCAUGGGGGAAUUCUGUGCAAGUCCUGCAGAUAUUCCCCCCUCACAAAAUAAUUGAUUCUGACAGGGAGGCAAAGAGAAGCCAUGAGAGGGGUCACACUGCAAUUACACCUUUCGUCCACCAGGGGCUGAUAUGGUGCCAGAAGAGAGGGCAGCCAGCUGCUGAGAGGGAGGAGGCAGAGGCUGCCUUCUUCAAAAUGCCAUGACUGCAAGACCAGGUUAGAAGGCACAAGGUAUGGGGGGACAAACAGAGUGGGGCACAUGGGGAUGCUGGGGACUCACAAACUGGGAUUCAGAAGGGCUAGUGAAGGUAUAGGAGUUAGUGGGGUAACAACAUUAACCCAAGGGCUGAAUGGGAGUGAGGGUACUGGGCCGAAUGGGGAUAUGCCUGGCUGAACGGGGAGUGAUCGUGCAAGGACAGAUGUGCCUGACUGAAAGAAAGAGAGUCAGUGUCUGCGUAAGGGAUGCUCCCCAACUCCCUAACAAUCCCUCCCACCCCCCCACAAAAAACCUGUUCCAUACUUUUCCCACUCACACCCAACAACCUUCCAGGUUCAAUCCCAGGGCUCCUUCCCAGCUAUUACUUCCCUCCUCCUCAGCUCCUCCGUUGCCACUGACUCCCGCAAGCUUUCACACUGCUUCUGAGUGUGGCAAAUAUGUUUUUGAAUUGUAGUUUAAAUGAAUUACUACUCAAAGUUCCAUAUUUAAUAUGCCUAGAAAGGAAUCUGUUUGUCAAAUAUUUCCUGAAUCUUUUUUUGUUGUCUGUUACAAACGUACUUGCUGACAAGUAUUGUGAAAUAAAUUACCAAAAUAAUUGAAACUGGUGUGAUUAUAUUGUGUUAUUUUGACAAAUAAAAUAUGCAGAAUU